GACGGAAGGUGCAAGCGUUACUCGGAAUCACUGGGCGUAAAGCGUCCGCAGGCGUCUUAUUAAGUCUGGCGUAAAAGCACGGAGCUCAACUCCGUGUACGUGCCGGAAACUAAUAAGAUAGAGUUAUUCAGAGGUAUCUGGAAUGUCGUGUGUAGGGGUAAAAUCCGUUGAUCCACGAUGGAACGCCAAAAGCGAAAGCAGGAUACUGGGAAUAUACUGACGCUCAGGGACGAAAGCGUGGGGAGCAAAGGGG
rnacentral:misc_RNA from 1 species